GAUGAAGAACGCAGUGAAAUGCGAUACGUAAUGUGAAUUGCAGAAUUCAGUGAAUCAUCGAGUCUUUGAACGCACAUUGCGCCCCCUGGUAUUCCGGGGGGCAUGCCUGUCCGAGCGUCAUUGCUGCCCUCAAGCACGGCUUGUGUGUUGGGCCCCGUCCUCCGAUCCCGGGGGACGGGCCCGAAAGGCAGCGGCGGCACCGCGUCCGGUCCUCGAGCGUAUGGGGCUUUGUCACCCGCUCUGUAGGCCCGGCCGGCGCUUGCCGAUCAACCCAAAUUUUUAUCCAGGUUGACCUCGGAUCAGGUAGGGAUACCCGCUGAACUUAAGCAUAUCAAUAAGCGGAGGA
rnacentral:misc_RNA from 1 species